CAACAUGAUCAUAGGGGGUGGGAGGAGUUAGGUCAGAAGUAGGCAGGGCAGUCAGGGUAUAGUUGGUUGAGUUGCAAGGUGGUUUUAUUGCUUGGUGCCCUUUAAGAGCUUUCACUAAGGUUUGUCUUCUCUGCCUGUGAGAGAGACCACAUAAACAAGGUUGAGUGCUUCCAGUAUUCAGGUGGGUGUUUGCCCAGGGGCUCAUCUGCAAUUUUCAUAUCUCUGAUGUAGACGCAAGCAAAUUAUGGUAACACUUCUCAGUUAUCAUCGACGUAUUUUACUCUGGAUGGAUUUAACCUGGUAAGUGCAGAGCAAACAACCCAUGUGUGAUGGUUGCUUCUUCACGAGGGAAUCCACUUGACUGGCAGAAAAUCUCAGUUGCCUAAGAAAGACAUUUCUUCUUCCUUAAAACAGAGCCCAGAUUUUAUUUGUUUAUUUGGGUAGUAAUGUGUCUAGGUCUGGGAGUGAAUUGUGAUUGGUUCACGCUAUGCCUUUGCCGCCUAACCUUGCAUUAAUAGCUGUUGACGCAGCUCUAGACAAUUAGGUGAAAGUGCAAGUCAGCUGAGGCAUCUUGGGAAACAGAGCUGGUGCUACCUCCUUCUCCUUUCCUGAACUGUGGUCGUGAUGCCAGAAGCCACAACACUCAUCUUGUAACUACGGGGCAACAAGCACAAAGACAAAAAGCCAAGAGGUAACUGCCAUAAUCAAAGCUAGCAAUUAUCUACUGUCAUACUUUUUGUUUAAGACACAGAGAACUGGGUUUUCCACUUAAGCUAAAAGCACUCCUGAUGGUCCCCUUUGGUUCUUGUCAGUGGGGUACAUUUUGAGGCUUCUUUUGUCUUUCUUUCCUCACGUAAUUCCAAUUUUCUAAUUCUUGCUUCAGAUUAGUCUUCAAAACUCAUAUGCUUCCUUCUGGGUAUUGGUGAGGCAUCUCAGUGAAGAAAAGAAGCUACUGGAUUUGGGAAAGCUUGAAUGUGAUUAUCAUCUGUUUCAGGGGCAUGAGCAUCAAAUCCAGUGUGUCCAGGAUGUUUGGUUGGCCAAACAGAGUUGGGGAAAGCAUGGAUACCAGCUGACAACAGGAGAAUCGAAUAUCCCUGUGUUUCAAAGCUCAGGACAGAGACCACAUGCCAAAGGCGUGUGGAGACAUUCGCUCUCCAUCAAUACAUAUUUAUUAACUGUUAUUGGAUGACAGGAAGGGGCAGACAACUGUGUACAGCUCAUGGAUGAGCAUUUUUGAGCAUCAGCUGUGUGCUGAGAUACACCAAGAAUGGUUCCUGUCCUUUAACCCUUCUGGUACUGUCCCAUCCUGCCUUUUCUUCUUUCCUUCCUCAAAUAUUUCCUGAACAUGUCCUAUCUGCCAGGUACCCUGACAGGUGCUGGGGAUACUGAAAUAAAUCGAUGUGUGUGCCUGUAGCCUUCA
rnacentral:lncRNA from 12 species